GAGUUUGAUCAUGGCUCAGGAUGAACGCUGGCGGCGUGCUUAACACAUGCAAGUCGAACGAAGCGCCUUAUUUGAUUUUCUUCGGAACUGAAGAUUUGGUGACUGAGUGGCGGACGGGUGAGUAACGCGUGGGUAACCUGCCCUGUACAGGGGGAUAACAAUCAGAAAUGACUGCUAAUACCGCAUAAGACCACAGCACCGCAUGGUGCAGGGGUAAAAAACUCCGGUGGUACAGGAUGGACCCGCGUCUGAUUAGCUGGUUGGUGAGGUAACGGCUCACCAAGGCGACGAGCAGUAGCCGGCUUGAGAGAGUGAACGGCCACAUUGGGACUGAGACACGGCCCAAACUCCUACGGGAGGCAGCAGUGGGGAAUAUUGCACAAUGGGGGAAACCCUGAUGCAGCAACGCCGCGUGAGUGAAGAAGUAUUUCGGUAUGUAAAGCUCUAUCAGCAGGGAAGAAAGUGACGGUACCUGACUAAGAAGCCCCGGCUAACUACGUGGCAGCAGCCGCGGUAA
rnacentral:rRNA from 1 species